AAUGAUUAUUACUUUAAAGCCCGACGAUAUCUGUAUAUUGAAAAUUUGUAUCAAUCUAGCUAUCAAUUUGAUAAAAAGCUAGGUUGACAUAUUCAAGUUAUGCCAAAAAGUAAAAUGAGUCCUAGUAUUCAGACAAGAUACAUUUUUCUCUAGCGAAACCAGGCAUGACCGUUAAGAAACAUGUUCAUUCCAUUUCUGUCCCGCAUGUAUGGAUUUAUACAAUAUUGGCGGCGCUUUCUCCGUUUAUCGUCUUCCUCCAGCACCAAAAUUAAUUUGUCAACAAAGAUAGUAACUAUGUCCAUAUUAGCUUAUUUAAGGCUAAUCAAUUCUUCAAGAUCGGGGGUGCCACAGAGAUCUAUAUCCAACCGAUAUCCAAUUGAGUUGGAAUUCUAGAAGGCAAAGCGGGAAGUCUCGCCCCACAAAAACAAAAGUUCCAUGCGCGACUGACCAGAGUACCAUACUCCCAUGUAUUUUGGUGAGCUGGACAAGCGAAUCUGAAGUUAGAAAAAAAAACCUGACGUGAUGGAUCAAAUCUGACCUUGGAUUCACGUACAGCGUACUAAAAUAUGGUAAGAAUUUCUGAUUUAUCUUUUUCAGCAUAAUUUAAAAAGCUCUAGUCAAAUCUCUACUAUAAUUUACAUUCAUAUCUGGCGAGUAC
rnacentral:sRNA from 15 species